rnacentral:rRNA from 1 species
UACGUAGGGUGCGAGCGUUGUCCGGAAUUACUGGGCGUAAAGAGCUCGUAGGUGGUUUGUCGCGUUGUUCGUGAAAACUCACAACUCAAUUGUGGGCGUGCGGGCGAUACGGGCAGACUGGAGUACUGCAGGGGAGACUGGAAUUCCUGGUGUAGCGGUGGAAUGCGCAGAUAUCAGGAGGAACACCGGUGGCGAAGGCGGGUCUCUGGGCAGUAACUGACGCUGAGGAGCGAAAAGCGUGGGGGAG